rnacentral:rRNA from 2 species
CCGCGUGAGUGAAGAAGGGUUUCGGCUCGUAAAACUCUGUUGUUAAAGAAGAACAUAUCUGAGAGUAACUGUUCAGGUAUUGACGGUAUUUAACCAGAAAGCCACGGCUAACUACGUGCCAGCAGCCGCGGUAAUACGUAGGUGGCAAGCGUUGUCCGGAUUUAUUGGGCGUAAAGCGAGCGCAGGCGGUUUUUUAAGUCUGAUGUGAAAGCCUUCGGCUCAACCGAAGAAGUGCAUCGGAAACUGGGAAACUUGAGUGCAGAAGAGGACAGUGGAACUCCAUGUGUAGCGGUGAAAUGCGUAGAUAUAUGGAAGAACACCAGUGGCGAAGGCGGCUGUCUGGUCUGUAACUGACGCUGAGGCUCGAAAGUAUGGGUAGCAAACAGGAUUAGAUACCCUGGUAGUCCAUACCGUAAACGAUGAAUGCUAAGUGUUGGAGGGUUUCCGCCCUUCAGUGCUGCAGCUAACGCAUUAAGCAUUCCGCCUGGGGAGUACGGCCGCAAGGCUGAAACUCAAAGGAAUUGACGGGGGCCCGCACAAGCGGUGGAGCAUGUGGUUUAAUUCGAAGCUACGCGAAGAACCUUACCAGGUCUUGACAUACUAUGCAAAUCUAAGAGAUUAGACGUUCCCUUCGGGGACAUGGAUACAGGUGGUGCAUGGUUGUCGUCAGCUCGUGUCGUGAGAUGUU